UUACUAUGGAGAGUUUGAUCCUGGCUCAGGAAGAACGCUAGCGGCAGGCCUUAUACAUGCAAGUCGAGGGGCAGCAUUUACUUCGGUAAAUGGCGACCGGCGCACGGGUGAGUAACGCGUAUGCAACCUACCUUUAACUGGGGCAUAGCUCGAGGAAACUCGAAUUAAUUCCCCAUAGUACAA
rnacentral:rRNA from 1 species